AGUGUAGCUCAAUUGGCAGAGCGUCGGUCUCCAAAACCGAAGGUUGGGGGUUCGACUCCCUCCACUC
rnacentral:tRNA from 1 species